GCGGGCUUGUCAAUCUACCAUGCGGACUCUUUCACCUGCGAGCAUGAUGCGUUGAGCCCGCAACAGCCUGCCCUUUUGGAGGCACUGCUGGGCCGCUGCAGGCCCCUCGUCGCGCCCUACAAUGGCCGAGGAGAAGAUAGCAAAAGAGGCCGGGCGCGAGUUCGCCGGCAGGAUAGCCAUCAUGGCUCCCAUGCCCCGCCGUCCUGUACAUGAGCGGGUCGGCGUUCGUGAGGAGCAGGACGGUGCGGAGGACGACGACGACAACCGCCUUGCGCUCGGGUUCAGCCGGAGUCGGGGCGCGUGGCGUGGCCGGCGUUACAUCGCCCCCCGCGGGGUAACCUCUCCUCCUGCGUCAUGUGUCCUUGGCACUGUCCGACUCUUUCCCUUACAGCCUGUUCACAGCCGCCUUGGGCUAACGGGAGAGCGCCAGUGGUUCGGUGCGGGGCUCCGGCAGGCCGCUGUCGACGACCGCCCCGCACGCGCAGCCCAGGACUCUACCCCCGAGGCUCAACCCACCAUCACCGUCGCGGCGAUGCGCGAGGCCAAAAUGGAUGAUCUCAACAAUACUGACUGCACGGAAAAAAAUAGUUUCUUGUAUUUCAAGACCCGGUCUUGGAUCUAAGGGAGAACGCCAAUGGCAUCCAAAACCAGGUCUUGAAAUACAAGAAACUAUACCGUGUGUUGUGAGGGCAGAAACUCUUGCGACUGCAACUGUUGCUGCAUGAGGAGGGAGACAAUAAAAAAUAAUAAUUUAAUUUGUCACUGUGACUGUAACUGCUGUAUUAAAUCAAGAGAAAAUAAUUGCAGUUGUACUUGUUGUAAUAGACACCUCAUUAUGGUACUGUGUCAGCUAUGCUUUCGAAAUAGAUUUGAAGAAUAGAUAUGUAAAUUAAUAGGUAGUAAAAAAUUAAAUAAUGUACAGCUAAAAUUUAUUGAUGGCAACAGAAUCAGCAUGACCAUGCUCACAACACAUAUUAAACUAUUGCAAUAUCAGAGUAUUCUCCCUUAAAUCCCUUACCAUGAUGAUAAUUUUUGUUGCAGGACGUCACAUAACGCUGAAACUGCUUCUGGCAGAAAUAAUGUAUGACAGUUCAUAGCACUCUUGAUCACUCCGUGUUGUGUUUAGUUGAACAAGUAGUGCGUUUCGAUGUCCCUUUCUCUUCUGCACCUUUGAGUUUUUGUUUUGAAGUCUCCGCUUGCCUUGUUUGUCACCUAGAUUCUUUAUUUAUACCAAUGCUCAGAUCUUAGUUUGUCUCUUUUUUUGUGGCUUGCUGGUACAUUGUUAGUCGUGCGGCAAACAAGCAAAAAGAAAUCAUAAGAAAAUUACAACGCCAAUAACUUUUAAUUUGACAUGUGGUUUGUUACGUUGAGGCUGAACAAGUACCACGGGCGGGUGGUGCUGAAUCCCUCAGAGAACUGCUCUACCAACUAGGAUUCGAUUUUGUAAUAGAUGAUGGCAAAAGGCAUCUCAUUCAAAAGCCCAGGACAAUUAUGAAGCGCCACAACUUCCUGCGCCAGUUCUAUGAAACUUUCACAUCAGAAAACAGGCUAUAUGAGGUUUACCAGGAUGAGACCUGGACCUUCCUCCGUGGAAGUGGAAUGAAGCCAAGGUCCUGGGUAAAUGAGGACCCCAGGUCAUUCUGUAGGCGGGAGGGGGGUUCAUCCUUGGGGAGAAGGUCUCUAAUCAGCCAUACAGGUGGUGCAGAGGGCUUUGUUUCUGGUGCUGGUUUCUGCGAGGCGUCAUCCACGACUGAUGUGGACUACCACAGAGACAUGAAUGGUGAAAGGUUUAACAGGCACUUUAAAGAGGAUAUGCUCGCCAACUUCACCAGGCCAACCCUCAUAAUAAUGGAUAAUGCCUUCUACCAUACCGUCCAGGUUUGUUUCUAAACUUACAAGAUAACAGUACCAAUAAUAUAAAAUGCUCGCAUUGCAAAGAAUUAAUUCGCAUUGAAAGGAAUUCUUUGCAUAGAAAUAUUUCACAAGCUUACAAAGAACUGGUUCAUUAUGCUGUGCUUCAAAAUUCUUUGCAACUCGCAAGGAAAAUAGUUUGAGAUACAAACAAAUUCUUUGCAAGCAUUUUACAGUGCAGUGGGUUAAUGUUAGAAAGCAAGAUGACGGGAGUAAGUAGAUUAGAGUAGGGAAAGAUGUCAAAUGAUGAAUACCAUCUGAGAGGUGCUUCCCAGUGAUGAUUGACAUAGCAAUGUAAAAGCAAAAAGUGUUUAAAAUUUCACGGAGAUCUGACAAUAAGACCCAUCAAAGUCUGGUUCUAGAGGUGAACAUUUUGAUGCAAAGUCCAGGACAAUGACCAUCAUUGCUAUACUGCUGAUCACAUGUCUGACAUGGAAGACGAUGUCAGUGUGACAAACUUAAGGCGGAAGCGCAGAAAAAAAAUUGAAGAACAUCAAACGAAGUUGCUUUUGACUGCUGUGCUGUUUCAUUACUUUUGUUUUAAAAACCUCUCACAUGUGAGGGUACC